GAUGAACGCUGACAGAAUGCUUAACACAUGCAAGUCUUUGGCGAAGCUGUGCUUGCACAGCCUAGCCAAGGCGGACGGGUGAGUAACGCGUAAGGAACUUGCCCUGCAGUCAGGGAUAACAGACGGAAACGACUGAUAAGACCUGGUAAAGUCAGGCGGACUCAUGACCAGCCUGAUGAAAAGAGAUGCUGCAGGAGAGCCUUGCGUCCUAUUAGCUUGUUGGUGGGGUAACGGCCCACCAAGGCGAUGAUAGGUAGCCGGCCUGAGAGGGUGGACGGCCACAAGGGGACUGAGAUACGGCCCUUACUCCUACGGGAGGCAGCAGUGGGGAAUAUUGGACAAUGGGGGCAACCCUGAUCCAGCAAUUCUGUGUGCACGAUGAAGGUUUUCGGAUUGUAAAGUGCUUUCAGCAGGGAAGAAAAAAAUGACGGUACCUGCAGAAGAAGCGACGGCUAAAUACGU
rnacentral:rRNA from 1 species